CAGACGAAACGAUGUAGACACGCAAUCAAUUUUAAGUGGAGAUAGUGCAACUGCAGCUGAAAUCGGCAAACAGUUUGCUGAGCGCUGUUUUCUUUGGUAGCUGCAGUCUCUAAAUCUUCUGCAGUUUUUCUGUCAACGACACGUUCGUUGUUUACAUAACUCACAGGGAAGGCAAAAUGUAGCCACACCGGUGACUUCAGGGAAGCAGGAGGAUUUUCCAGUUCGGUUGUUUCUCCGUCAACUCUGACUUUGGCCGUGGUCAUGGUGUCUCGAAUUGCAGCUGCAGGCUAACGGUGGGGAACUGGGAGCGACUUCAAAUGCCUUCUCAAAGCAACAAACGCUGACAACAUCUGACGCCUGCAAUAUUGCCACUUUCUGGCAAACAGCAACACUCAAUGAAUGAUUCCUGAAAAGUGCCAUCAUAUGCCACGUAAAUGUGGCAGCUUCCUGAGAUGACUCACUUGGCAUUUAGACCACAUUAUGCUUUACAUGAGAAGGUCCAACAUGAUAUAGGGGUGGGGGAAAAAAAAUCUAUUCACCUAUGCAUCGGAUGCAAUAUCCGUGCUGUAUACGUCAACCAAAACAAACCACAGUGAGUCAAAACGAGAAAGUAGGAAACGGCGGAGGCUGAUCCAAUUUCCCUGAAUUUGGAACAAGAAUGUUUUUUUUUAUUUUAUUGCCCAAUUCCUCUGAGUGUGCCCUAUUUGUCAUAAAUUGACAUUGGCUCUAAAA